rnacentral:rRNA from 1 species
AUCUUGUCCAUCUGGACCUCAACGGCAACUCUCUCUCGGGACCAAUCCCGUCAAGCAUUGGUGCUCUCACCAAGCUCGAAUACUUGGAUCUAUCCAACAAUGGCCUGAGCGGAUCUAUCCCAACAUCCCUAGAGUUGCCUCGUCUUGUCUUUCUGGACCUCAGAUACAACACUCUCUCCGGCCUAAUCCCAUCAAGCAUUAGUUCUCUCGCCAAGCUCGAAUACAUGGAUCUAUCAGGCAAUAGUCUUCAUGGACCCAUCCCAACAUACCUAGAGUUGCCUCGUCUUGUCCAUCUGGAGCUCAGAUACAACACUCUCUCAGGCCUAAUCCCAUCAAGCAUUGGUGCUCUCGCCAAGCUCGAAUACUUGGAUCUAUCGGGCAAUCUUCUUAAAGGACCUAUCCCAUCAUUCAUAGCUAAUUGUACUAAACUAACCUCUCUCAAAUUCUGUCAUAAUCUUUUGAGCAAAGGAUCCAUUGUAGGCAAUCGGACGAGUUUACGAUACUUAGAUCUUUCCAACAAUCUAAUAAAUGGUCCCUUCCCUUCAACCAUUCUGAAAUUAGCCUCUCUAACAACGCUGGCACUUCGAUCCAAUCAGCUUAACGGCCUAUUACCAUCAUAAAUUGGAAAUCUUAUUAUUCUCUCUCAUCUGGAUCUUUCCAACAAUCGGAUCACGGGUUCCGUCGGAAGCAUAGGAAAUCUAACAAGUUUAGAGUUCUUGGAUCUUUCAAACAAUCAAAUAAAUGGUUCCAUUUCUUCGACCUUCUCGAAAUUGACCUCUGUUACAACACUGUCACUUGGGUCCAAUAAGCUUAGUGGCUUAUUACCACCAGAGUUAGGAUCUCUUAUUCAUCCCACUCGUCUGGAACUAAGUAGCAAUCAGUUUGAAGGAAGCAUUCCACCUCAGAUAGGACAUUGCCACCUUUUAACAUCGUUACUCAUAUCGGACAACUUAUUGACGGGUGAAAUCCCACAAGAACUUGGGUAUCUCACCAACCUAUAUGAGAUGGAUUUGAGUAGAAACAAUUUAAGUGGUGCCAUUCCAGCGACCUUUUCUAAUCUUCCCAGACAGGCUAUGCUGAUUUUAGCAUAUAAUAGUUUGACUGGCAAAGUUCCAUCUAUCACAGCCUCAAUCUUACUUGACCAUAAUAAGGAUUUAUGCGGUGAUUCCAAUCACUUAAUGCCAUGUGAAACACUGAAGCUCGACAUGAACCACCAAAGCAGAAAACAUCCACGUAUGGUACUUCUUGCGUUUUUUGCACCCUUUUCCUUCGCUUGCCUCUCAAUAGCAAGCAUCACGGUUAUUUGUAGGAGAAACAAGUGUUCAAAAAGUAAAAGGAAAAGCAAGUCUGGAGAUAUACUUUCUAUAUGGAAUUUCGAUGGGAAGAUCGCAUUCGAAGACAUACUCACUGCAACUGAAAAUUUCAAUGAGAAAUAUUGCAUUGGCAUUGGAGGCUAUGGAACUGUCUUCAGAGUCGAGCUCGAAGGCGGGGUUACCUUUGCCGUCAAGCUCCUGCAUUCAAUGGAAGAAUUCAACGACGAGGAAACAUUUCACGCUGAGAUUGAAGUGUUGACAAAAAUCAGGCACCGAUGCAUGGUCAAGCUGUAUGGCUUCUGUUCACACUCCCAAUGCAAAUUUCUUGUGUAUGACCUUAUUGAGAGGGGAAGCUUAUCAUCCAUUUUGCACGAGCAAGAGCUAGCAAAGGAGCUGGACUGGUCAAAUAGAAUUGCUAUUGUGGCGGACAUAGCUCAAGCUCUCUCCUAUUUGCAUCAUGAUUGCGAUGAUCCUAUUGUACACCGGGACAUAAAAAGCAGCAACAUUCUUCUGAACCGAGAUUAUAAAGCUUAUGUCUCGGACUUUGGCAUGGCGAGGAAGCUGAAGCAUGGUUGCUCAAGCUGGAGCACUAUCUUUGCAGGGACAUGUGGCUAUAUAGCCCCAGAAUUGUCAUCCACCAUGGUGUUGACCGAGAAGUGCGACGUGUACAGCUUCGGUGUGGUUGCGCUGGAAGUUGUGAUGGGAAAGCAACCAGGUGAUCUGCUCCUUCCGUUCUUCUGCCGAACAGAGCAGCCGAGGAAGUUCAACGAUAUCCUGGAUCGACGCAUCGCUGUGCCGUCAACCAUUCAUGAGGAGAAGGAUGUCAUUUUGGUUGUCUUGGUAAAAAAAUAUAUUGGCCUGUAUAUUUGUAUUUGUGUGUAGAUUUCUAGGACGGAAGGAUUGGAUAACGGGGAAAAUACAUCCUUUGUAUGUUGACUCAGUAAUUGUUCUUGUAGCUUCAGUUUCGAAAAAUUACAAGGUUUGCCAAAACUGUUGGAUGAAAAUAUAUGCAUUUCCCUUACCUUUGUCUCUUCUUAUUCUAGAUGGUUAUGUUUGUAAAGGGGAAUAGAUACAGUAUGUUUUAGUAGAAGUUAUGCAACAGGCUGGAUGUUUAAUAGACAAAAGUUGAAACAACGGAAGCUUUUCAACCUAGAAUUUACAACUGCGAGGAGCCCAUGUACAUAUGCGCAUAGAACUCUGAACUUAUUCAUGCAGGUCAGCUUUACUUGAUCAAGUAUAUUGACUGGUACAGCGGCUUCCUUUGUGGUAGAAGAUGAAUUCAGAAAUUACUCUGCGCGGCUUUGAUUCACACUGAAUUGUGCUAUCUGAAGCUAACUGAUGUUAUUUUCCUUUCCGCAAAAAAAAAAAGCUGAUGUUAUUUUGCUUCUUUCUAAGUGUCCAAUGCUCUCUCUUUUCCUUUUCUUUUUUGAGGAGAACAAUUUUUGUAUGGAGGUGGAACUGUACUGCGGGGCAGUGGCGGUGCUAGCAUAGGCCAAUAAGGAAAUGCAGUCACAUAGUGAAGGAGGUCUACUGGUCGAAAUAGGAAGAACCAUGCGCUAUUUGGCAGUACCAUUGUAUAUUUGUAUCAUGUGCGGCGCUAUAUAUGUUUCAUCAAUAUAUGUUCGAAGCUGCAGGUCGCAAGGGGGGUGCUGGACGCUGAGCUGCUUGUCCAAUGCACCAUUGGUACGGUGGAUCUGAGAAGGUGGAUACAAAGUAGUCUGUGGUAAUGACAUGCUUAUGAUGCAGCGGUCAUUGGAUCCAUGAAACUUGCUUUUAGAUGGAUGCAUGUGCUAGCUCUGCUUAAUUUAUACCCUGGUGAUUUAGAUCAGUGCCAUCAUCACUGUAAUGUUUUUACUUUAAACUGUCCAGUACUAAGGAUAGAUUUGAAAGGAUUUGUGUAGAUUUUAUUCAUAAAUGAAGCAACAUUUCAAGCUUGGAUAAUGAGCCUAUGUAAUGAUUUGCUCUGUUUUUGUUUGACUGGCAUUUGGAGGGAAGGUUUGGAUGAUUGUUCUGUAAUUAACUGUGUUUUUUUUCCUGUUGAGAGCAUGUAACCAUUCUGGGAAUGGUUGUGUUAGCUCAUGUGAUGUGGUGCAUAUGCUCAUGGAUGAACAUAAAUUCAAAACAAAUACUAGGUUAUUAGCCUACCAAAAAGGCUUAUAAUUUGGGACAGAGGAAAUAGUAAAUAAAUUUUAAAAAUUCGAUUUUUGUUCGUAGAUGUUCUUGUUAGUGUAACAAGUGUUCUUGACAAUUUUCAUGCGAAACGCGAUAGCAAUGCUUCAUUCGUAAAAAAAAUAAAAAAAAAUAUGUGUAACUUUUGGUGUUUGACUUGUUUUUAGCAGGUCAAAAUGCUUAGGCUUCCCCCCUAAACAUUUGCAGAUACCAUUUGAGUGUGACAAUGAACACUUCUGCUUAUUUUUAAUAUUUUUGACAUUUGAAAAAGCAUUUUUGAUGCGCGGGAACAUAUGCUCCCAGGAGUCAGAAUGGUAUUUCUGCUCAGUUGUGUUUAUCGUUGCCCAAAGCCAUCUUGCAGAAGGAUGUGAUGGCACUAAGGGCCAG